UGACCUCGGAUCAGGUAGGAAUACCCGCUGAACUUAAGCAUAUCAAUAAGCGGAGGAAA
rnacentral:rRNA from 5 species